rnacentral:lncRNA from 1 species
GGACAAAGGUAGAAAAAUGUGAAAUUACCAGAAGAAAUCUAGAGUACUCAAUGUGUGAGGAAGAGUUUUCUCAGCAUGAGUCUUUUGUUGCCCAGCAUUUCAGGGCAUUGUCCAAAUUUCUGGUGUCUAUUUUGUUUCAUGUGUUUCCAGAAGUAAGACAUGUCAGGAGACAAGAGCCUGGACUCCAAAUGCACUGUCUGCUUUGCAGCUUCCAAAGGACUCUGUGUCCUGUCAUUAUAACCUGCAGGGCUCAAAAUGGCUGAAUCAAAUAUUGUGUGUCAGAUAUCCAGCCUGAGAAGUGGACAGCAUCAUGUAGGAAGAAGUUCAGAAAAAAUGCCAACUAAGGAAUGAAUGCCAGGCUCCAGAAGAAGAGUGUCUAUGGACAGCCUCCAGCACCAUGCAUCUAUACAGGUAAUCAGUUGUCUUGUAGCCUUAAAAUACAAACCAAAAGCUCUAAUUCCUAAUGCAAUGCAUCUGAUUUUUUCACCCUUUAUACGUCUUUCUCAUCAGAAGCAAACAAAAUUACUGUGACUGUUGACUCAAAACUGAACAGCAGAGCUAAACUUCUGUCUGUUGAUGAAGACUGAUAUGAAUAAGACAGCUUGAUUGAUAUUUAUCAAUCAGUUAAGAGACUUCUAUAUAUAUAGCUUUUUUUUCCCUUUUUUUCUUCUUUUUUUUUUUUUUUUUGAAGAAAGACUGAUAAACUAUCUUUAAGCUUGUUGUGGUACCACCCCUACUGAUUUUUAUUUUCAUUUUUAUUUUUAUUUUUAUUUUUAUUUUUAUUUUUAUUUUUGAGUGGUAGAUCAAACUAGAUACCUCUUCCCUUCCAAAGCUUUUCUUUGAUUCUAUGAGUUGAUCUACAUAUUUCACUCUUUUUUAACUGUAAAAGACUGAGCAGGUCAAGAAGUGACAACACUUGUGAAAGAAAACUGACAGCUCAUCAUGUGAAAGAGAUCUGUUACUUUUAGGUCUAUGUGACUCCUGGCUUUUGGGGCUAGGAAAGGUUAACUGACUCCUUAUACAUCAUUAAAAAAUACUUACAUGGAGAAAAUGUGUUCAAAAUUAAAAUCCAUAAUGUUGUGCAUUUUAUUAAGAGAUAUUAAGAUAAGUGCAUCUUUAGACUGUAUUUCACAGGAUAGGUUUUCAUUUAAAAGCAUGCUCUGGGAUAUAUUCGUAUGUGAUUUCAAAGACAUAACUAGUAUCAACAAAAUGAAUUAGUUCCUAAGUUAAUAAUCAUUACAAAUUCUAAGAGAUAAUUUUAAAUAUUAUAGCCUAUAUAUGCUAGCACACAUGGGGGUACAAACAUCUCUGUAUUUUUCAUUUAUCUAUGUACUUUUCUGUACCUACAUACAUUAAGUAUAUUAAUAUAUGUAUAUUCCAGUUCCCACUGCAACUAAAGGACUUGUAAUUCAAUUUAAGGGUAACUGAAUCUAUUUGUACCUUGAUAAGGACGUAUGUUACUAUUACUACUUCUACUACUAGUACUACUAAUAAUAAAAAGUAUAACUAGCUCA